GAUGAACGCUGGCGGCGUGCCUAAUACAUGCAAGUCGAGCGAACAGACGAGGAGCUUGCUCCUUCGACGUUAGCGGCGGACGGGUGAGUAACACGUAGGUAACCUACCUAUAAGACUGGGAUAACUUCGGGAAUCCGGAGCUAAUACCGGAUAAUAUUUCGAACCGCAUGGUUCGAUAGUGAAAGAUGGCUUUGCUAUCACUUAUAGAUGGACCUGCGCCGUAUUAGCUAGUUGGUAAGGUAACGGCUUACCAAGGCAACGAUACGUAGCCGACCUGAGAGGGUGAUCGGCCACACUGGAACUGAGACACGGUCCAGACUCCUACGGGAGGCAGCAGUAGGGAAUCUUCCGCAAUGGGCGAAAGCCUGACGGAGCAACGCCGCGUGAGUGAUGAAGGUCUUCGGAUCGUAAAACUCUGUUAUUAGGGAAGAACAAACGUGUAAGUAACUGUGCACGUCUUGACGGUACCUAAUCAGAAAGCCACGGCUAACUACGUG
rnacentral:rRNA from 1 species